rnacentral:tRNA from 1 species
GGAAGGGUGGCAGAGUGGUCGAUCGCGGCGGUCUUGAAAACCGUUGAGGGUUCACGCCCUCCGUGGGUUCGAAUCCCACCCCUUCCGCCA